rnacentral:rRNA from 1 species
UACAGAGGGGGCAAGCGUUGUUCGGAAUUACUGGGCGUAAAGGGCGCGUAGGCGGUCUCGUAAGUCUGCGGUGAAAUCCUCCAGCUCAACUGGAGAACGGCCGUGGAUACUGCGAGUCUCGAGGGAGGUAGGGGCGUGCGGAACAGAUGGUGGAGCGGUGAAAUGCGUUGAUAUCAUCUGGAACUCCGGUGGCGAAGGCGGCACGCUGGACCUCUUCUGACGCUGAGGCGCGAAAGCCAGGGGAGCAAACGGG